AUUUUGACCGGACCGUGGCUGGGUUAUCUUUCCCUCCUCUCUUCUUUCUCGCUCAGCCGUGGCCACCCAAGAAAGAAGAAAGUCCAAAGGAGAGAGACUUUGCUAUGCUGGAGGCAAGAAGCCUGAGUAAGGCCGUUGUCUCUUCAACUCUGAUUGAGAAUCCUUCUCCUGGAAAUCUCCAGCCCACUCGACUUGCUCUCCAUGUUAAUGAGGAUGCCUCUUCUUGUUGGGUCUACAUGGCUUCUGGUUGUCACCUCUACAAACUGCAGGUUCCAAUGCAAGAUUCUUCUGUUAACAAGGGGAAAGAAAGCCUUCUCAUCCCUCUCCAAACACAGGUCAUGGACUCUUCAGUAGUUAACCGCUGCCCUCAUCGUUCAGAAAUUCAGAGUAUAGUGCUCUGUGAAACUGAAAGCGUUGGUAACUUGGUGUUGGGAAGUGUGGAUUCCUACGGUCAUCUUAUUGUCUCUAAGCUAGAUAGUAGUGGUAAAGAUAUUGAUAGCCUUACAUAUUCAGUAUCGCCACGGGAUUCAGGUGUUGGAGAAGGUAGUUGGGCAGGGCUCUGUUUCAGUCCAAGUCAAUGGUCAAUGGCAGCUGUAGCCCAUAGCUUCUGCAAAAGCAUUGAUGUUUAUGACCAAGACAUUCACCUGCGAACUUUGCGUACACUCUGGUAUCCAUCCUCAUUGAACUUUUUGCAGAAUUUAAAUCAUGGAGACGGAAGUUCAAUUUUAGCCGUCACUGAGGGCUGCCAGGUAUAGGUUCUUAUGUUUGCUUAGUUAUUCAUUUCUUGCAUGAUAGAUAUUUUUCCACUUCUUCCCAUGGAUUUACUGCAGCUGACAAUAUGGGACUUGAGAAUGAAAGAAAAUGGUGGCUGUCUACAUCGAAUUUGUGGUUCUCUUGGUGAUAUUUUCUAUGCUGUCUGCAGUUCAUCAACUGGUAAUAUAGCUGUGGGUGGAGCUGAUCGCACUGUGACUAUUUAUGAUCCUCGGAGAUGGUCGCCACUAGCAAGAUGGGUGCACUGUUCAAAAUAUGAGAUAACUGGACUUGCAUUCUCAUCACUGGACUCUGAUUAUAUCUAUAUUCAAGGGGUUGAUUAUGAGGUUUUUUGUGGCCAAUGGAAAGAGAGCAAUAAAGCAUUUUCGUUUAGAGGAGACUCAAACUGGCUUGGGUUCAGUAAGUGCUCAAAUUCAAAUAGGGAUUUACUAGGCGGAUGGUGUGAUUCUGGUAGUGUGUUCCUGGCUGAUGUUGGAGCUAAUGGAAGCUAAGUGAAAAACCUGAAAGGUAUAGGAAAUGGACAUCCCGAGUGGUUGUUGAGUCGCCUUCUUUUCUUCUGUGCUGGCUUUUAUUCCUUGCAUGUCCGUGAAUUUUGUCAAGUCAGCAACCUUUUAUCGUCAUGCUUGCAAGCAGGUAUUUCAAGCAGCCAUUGCUUCCAGUCAAGCCAUCGCAGUCAUGAUCUUUAAGCUGUUCACAAGCUAAAGUCAAUGUGCAUGAUCCACUCAUAUAUUUGUUUCCUGGAAUCUAGCAUCCACUUCAAUUUUGUGUUUUGGCCAUCCAAGUUUGGCUCUGCCUAUGAAAGACCGGAAUUUGAUGAUAAUGCAAUACUAUUGAUUUUGUAAGCUACUUUGAGCCUGGAUGAUUAUAGUUUGAAGGAUUUAUUCUUUUAUGGGUUGGUCUUCAAGAUGGCUCUCCAUAUUGAUUUGAAUGUUCUAGUUACAAUGACCGAGGCAAGUGGCUGCAGGGAAAAAAAAAUCAUGACUUUUAUUUUAAGCUUUUUUCAUGGUUGCUGCUAAUCCUCUGAAGAGUAGUUCAUCUUUUGUCCUUUCCUUUUUUUUACUAUAUCUUCUGUUUGCUUUUGAAAAUAAUAAUAGAACAUAAAAUUGCAAGUUCAUGCAACCAUUUGAAGCUGGAAUGGUUGGAUGGUUGCUUGAUUCCAGGUUUCUAUUUUCUAGUCAACUCAACUAUCUAGAACAGUGGCUAAGCUUGGUUUGGUUUAGUGGCUGAAAACAUAAUUCACUUGACA
rnacentral:misc_RNA from 1 species